rnacentral:rRNA from 1 species
UACGAAGGGGGCUAGCGUUGUUCGGAAUCACUGGGCGUAAAGGGCGCGUAGGCGGCUUUAUAAGUCGGGGGUGAAAGCCUGUGGCUCAACCACAGAAUUGCCUUCGAUACUGUAGAGCUUGAGACCGGAAGAGGUUAGUGGAACUGCGAGUGUAGAGGUGAAAUUCGUAGAUAUUCGCAAGAACACCAGUGGCGAAGGCGGCUGACUGGUCCGGUUCUGACGCUGAUGCGCGAAAGCGUGGGUAGCAAACAGG